AACGAAGCGGCUGCAGGGAUUCCCUUCGGGGCUUAACAGUAGCUGUCUGAGUGGCGGACGGGUGAGUAACGCGUGGGCAACCUGCCCCAUACCGGGGGAUAACAGCCGGAAACGGCUGCUAAUACCGCAUACGCCCGGGAGGCUGCAUAGCUUCCUGGGGAAAACUCCGGUGGUAUGGGAUGGGCCCGCGUCUGAUUAGCUCGUUGGCGGGGUAACGGCCCACCAAGGCGACGAUCAGUAGCCGGCCUGAGAGGGCGGCCGGCCACAUUGGGACUGAGACACGGCCCAGACUCCUGCGGGAGGCAGCAGUGGGGAAUAUUGCACAAUGGGGGAAACCCUGAUGCAGCGACGCCGCGUGAGCGAUGAAGUAUCUCGGUAUGUAAAGCUCUAUCAGCAGGGAAGAAAGUGACAGUACCUGACUAAGAAGCCCCGGCUAACUACGUGCCAGCAGCCGCGGUAAUACGUAGGGGGCAAGCGUUAUCCGGAUUCACUGGGCGUAAAGGGAGCGCAGGCGGCACGGCAAGUCUGGUGUGAAAACCCGGGGCUCAACCCCGGGACUGCAUUGGAAACUGCCGGGCUGGAGUGUCGGAGGGGUAAGCGGAAUUCCUAGUGUAGCGGUGAAAUGCGUAGAUUUUUUGGGAAACACCAGUGGCGAAGGCGGCUUACUGGACGAUGACUGACGCUGAGGCUCGAA
rnacentral:rRNA from 1 species